GGGUCAGUAGGUUGGUCGUGCCUCCGGUACGUACUGGUCUCACUGAUUCCUCCUUCCUGAAUAACCGUAAUGCCAUUAAUUUGGUGUUGCGGGGAAACAGGACUGUUACUUUGAAAAAAUUAGAGUGUUUAAAGCAAGCUAACGCUUGAAUACAUUAGCAUGGAAUAAUGGAAUAGGACGAUCGAUCCUAUUUUGUUGGUUUCUAGGAUUGACGUA
rnacentral:rRNA from 1 species